rnacentral:rRNA from 1 species
GGCAGCCGCGGUAAUUCCAGCUCCAAUAGCGUAUAUUAAAGUUGUUGCAGUUAAAAAGCUCGUAGUUGAAUUUCGGGAUCAGUACGCCGGUCGUGCCUUCGGUAUGCACUGGUGUCACUGGUUUCUCCCUUCUGAAGAACCAUCAUGCCAUUCAGUUGGUGUGGCGGGGAAUCAGGACUGUUACUUUGAAAAAUUAGAGUGUUUAAAGCAGGCUCGCGCUUGAAUACAUUAGCAUGGAAUAAUGAAAUAGGACGUUUGACCCUAUUUUGUUGGUUUCUAGGAUCGACGUAAUGAUUAAUAGGGAUAGUUGGGGGCAUUAGUAUUCAAUUGUCAGAGGUGAAGUUCUUGGAUUUAUUGAAGACUAACUACUGCGAAAGCAUUUGCCAAGGAUGUUUUCAUUAAUCAAGAACGAAGUUAGGGGAUCGAAGACGAUCAGAUACCGUCGUAGUCUUAACCAUAAACUAUGCCGACUAGGGAUCGGAUGAUGUUUAAUUUUUAAUGUACUCAUUCGGCGUACCCG